AGUGGUUGCUAGGAGACGGGUCAGGACGGCUGGAGGGUCGCUCCGCCAGGUCCUAGAGGCCGUCAGUCUUGCAGCGCGGCGCGCCAACGAGGCACUCUGCUGGCGUCCCUCGUCACUCCUGGUAUAGUUUAAUGAAGUGAGCGUUUGGUGCAUUGAGUGAAGUGAAGAUAGGAGUGUAGAUGGGCGUUGGUGUGAGCUGGUGAUCGUGUGAUGGGUGUGUGCUGCUGAAGGCCAGUUGUCCCCCUGUCUACCUCUUACGGACACUCUCUGGUAGACCCACCAGUGUUUCCCUACGUGCCUCCAUUAUACUUGUAUACCAGUACCAACACAGCUGUGUGUAGCGUGCCUCUAGUCCCUCUGGCAGUCUUCCCUGCAGCGGACGCACUUCGCCAGGCCUCUCUGUCCUCCCAAGUGCCCCCACCAACUUGGAUAUACCCACGGUGGGUUCAUGAGUGCCUUUUGUGGACUAGGCCUCCAGAAGUCUUCCGUGUGGUCCAUGAGCCUACACGUACACUGCCAGUGGCACAACCAGCUGAUCAAGGCGGCUUUAAUGUUAGCCACCACCCAGGUGUGAGGUGUCCUCCCCAGCCAACUCGCAUCACAAAGUUCUGCAUCUUUAUACCGCCACUGCUGUUUGAAUAUAUUGUACUGAAUAACUCAUUCUUGAAGCAUUCUACAACAAAAACUCAUUUCACGUGUAAAACAUCUGUGCCCGAUUAUAAUGUAACGGCUUCACUCCUAUACCAGUGUGUGUUUGGAAACAGGCUAAAGCACGAGAUGCCGUCCACGUCGCCUCAGGAGGAGCACUAAGGACUAGAAAACGAUCAUUUAAGGACUUAAAGAUACAUCUUAGAAUUGGAAGACUUCAGGAACAUUGAGACCCAUAAAAGAUUGGAGAGGGGAUUAGAUUAAUGGGAGAGGCCUAAACAGGCAUUAAAUCACCAGGUGGGUAGAGGCAACCAUUAUAGCUGGUGGAAGGAGCAAGAAUCUUCGAGUAAGCCCCAAGAGGAAGCCGCCGUCGCCAUGUUUCCUAGGAUCCAUCUGAUCGACCUGACGACGGUGGCACCCCUGCUCAUACCCUUCGUCUACCUGGCUGGCGGCAGCUUCUAUCAAGUGUUCAGACAGGUACACGAGCCUGAGGUGAAGGUUGCGGCCCAGGGUGUGUGGAGGGCAGCUGGCGUGUGAUCUUGACAUUCCCAUAUAUAGCGGCUACCAACUCCGUGUAGCUGAAGGUCGCCCACGGGUAAGGGGAGCGAGGGAGACACCUGGGCUACAGUUCUUUGGCACUCGUGAAAGGAGAAGUGUCAAACUGAUGAACGGAGAUGAUUUUUAUUGGAGCAUAGUUGAGUGUCAGAAUGUCGCGUAGUUAUG